UACGAAGGGGGCUAGCGUUACUCGGAUUGACUGGGCGUAAAGGGCGCGUAGGCGGUUCGUACAGUCAGACGUGAAAUUCCUGGGCUCAACCUGGGGGCUGCGUUUGAUACGUGCGGGCUUGAGUUCGGAAGAGGGUCGUGGAAUUCCCAGUGUAGAGGUGAAAUUCGUAGAUAUUGGGAAGAACACCGGUGGCGAAGGCGGCGACCUGGUCCGAUGACCUGACGCUGGAGGCGCGAAA
rnacentral:rRNA from 1 species